rnacentral:miRNA from 14 species
AUCUUGUAAAAAUGCAGAUUCUGAGUCAGUAAGUCUGGGGUGGGGCUCCAGAUUCUGCAUUUCUAACAAGCUC